rnacentral:rRNA from 1 species
AACGAACGCUGGCGGCAUGCCUAACACAUGCAAGUCGAACGAGACCUUCGGGUCUAGUGGCGCACGGGUGCGUAACGCGUGGGAACCUGCCCUUAGGUUCGGAAUAACUCCCCGAAAGGGGUGCUAAUACCGGAUAAUGUCUUCGGACCAAAGAUUUAUCGCCUUUGGAUGGGCCCGCGUUGGAUUAGCUAGUUGGUAGGGUAAAAGCCUACCAAGGCGACGAUCCAUAGCUGGUCUGAGAGGAUGAUCAGCCUCACUGGGACUGAGACACGGCCCAGACUCCUACGGGAGGCAGCAGUGGGGAAUAUUGGACAAUGGGCGAAAGCCUGAUCCAGCAAUGCCGCGUGAGUGAUGAAGGCCUUAGGGUUGUAAAGCUCUUUUACCCGGGAUGAUAAUGACAGUACCGGGAGAAUAAGCUCCGGCUAACUCCGUG